UUAUUUGAGAGUUUGAUCCUGGCUCAGGAUGAACGCUGGCGGCGUGUCUAAGGCAUGCAAGUCGAAUGCCCUCACCUCACUUUGUUCGGUUCGGAAGAAACAAGUUACAACUAACAAGAUACAAACAAAUAUCAAAUCUCAAAUUCCAAUAAUCAAACGUUUAUAAUAAUGUUUUGGAAUUUGUAAAUUGAAAUUUGAAAUUUGUUUGUUACUUGUAUUUUGUGUCUUGUAAUUUCACCGAGCACAGCGAGGUGUGGGCAUGGCAGACGGGUGAGUAACACAUUGGUAACCUACCUCUAACCCGGGCAUAACCCACCGAAAGGUGGAAUAAUUCCCGAUAGUCAUGGGGGGACAUAAGUCAUUCCCAUGUAAAAUUCCGGUGGUUAGAGAGGGGCCUAUGGCCCAUCAGCUUGUUGGUAAGGUAACGGCUUACCAAGGCUCCGACGGGUAGCGGGUGUGAGAGCAUGGCCCGCCUCACUGGGACUGAAACACUGCCCAGACUCCUACGGGAGGCUGCAGUCGAGAAUCUUCCGCAAUGGCCGAAAGGCUGACGGAGCGACGCCGCGUGUAGGAAGACGCCCUUCGGGGUGUAAACUACUUUUCUCAGGGACGAAUUCGUGACGGUACCUGAGGAAUAAGCCACUGCUAAUCACGUGCCAGCAGCAGCGGUAAUACGUGAGUGGCAAGCGUUAUCCGGAUUUAUUGGGUGUAAAGCGUCCCUAGGCGGCUUAAUAAGUUUUUAGUAAAAUCUCCGGGCCUAACCCAGAGUCUGCUAAAAAAACUAUUAGGCUAGAGACCGGGAGAGGUCAGCGGAAUGGCCGGUGUAGUAGUUAAAUGCGUUAAUAUCGGCUAGAACACCAAUAGCGAAGGCAGCUGACUAGAACGGUUCUGACGCUCAUAGGACGAAAGCGUGGGUAGCGAAUGGGAUUAGAUACCCCAGUAGUCCACGCUGUAAACGAUGGGCACUGAACAUUGGAAGUAUCGACCCUUUCAGUGUUGUUGACUUAAGCUAACGCGUUAAGUGCCCCACCUGGGGAGUACGGCCGCAAGGCUAAAACUCAAAGGAAUUGACGGGAGUCCGCACAAGCGGUGGAGCAUGUGGUUUAAUUCGAUUCUAAGCGAGGAACCUUACCAGGGUUUGACAUCCCGAGAACCCUCGAGAAAUCGAGGGGUGCCCCGCCAAAAUCAUCAAGCCGAUUUUUCGGUUUACUUCAGAUAGUCAACCUUUUUGGUUGUAAAUUUGGAGUGAAGCAAAUUGGUGAUUUAGGCGGGGAGCUCGGUGACAGGUGCUGCAUGGUUGUCGUCAGCUCGUGUCGUGAGAUGUCAGGUUAAGUCCUUUAACGAGCGCAACCCCUACUUUGUGUUAAAUUGUUCACAAAGAACUGCCUCGGUUAACGAGGAGGAAGGCGGGGAUGACGUCAAAUCAGCAUGGCUCUUACGCCCUGGGCUACACACGUGCUACAAUGGCGAGUACAAAGGGUGGCAAAAUCGCAAGAUGAAGCUAAUCCCAACAAAACUCGUCUCAGUUCGGAUUGAGGUCUGCAACUCGACCUCAUGAAGCUGGAAUCGCUAGUAACCGUGAAUCAGCCACGUCACGGUGAAUACGUUCUCGGACUUUGUACACACCGCCCGUCACGUCAAGAGAGUCGGUAGUACCCGAAAGCUGACAUUAGUUGGACUAAGGUAAGAUCGAUGAUAGGGACGAAGUCGUAACAAGGCAUCCGUAGCGGAAGCUGUGGAUGGAUCACCUCCUUU
rnacentral:rRNA from 1 species